GUUCGUUAUUUGGUUCAGUUUAAUCAGAGCUACCUUGUGUUACGUUGUUCCCUUGUUAGUUUAGUAUAAAGUUAAACUGCUAGCUAAAAGUUUUAACCAAGAAGGAUAAUAUUAACAGGAGAUAUGAAUGAAAGAAUUGAACCAUGAUAAAACGCGACAUGCACUACAAAUUGAAGGUAUGAAAUUAAGUUAAAUGAAAGCUCGUUUAUUCACCAUAUGAUGCUCGUUAUGAGGUAAUCAUAUAGGCUAGAUACCGUGAGUUAACGAGGUCGUUUACAUGCACGUGAGUGCACGGAUAUCGGUUAAUUAUUCAAAUUACUGAAAAACACGGAGAAAACCGCAACCGCAUUGCCAUGUGUUUUUCUAAGAUGUAUGCAAACAGGGGAAAUAUCACCAAACCAACAAUUCAUUUUACCAAAUCCUCACUAUAUAUCAUCAUUUGUAUGCACAGAAUUGCUGGAUUGGAUGCAUUGUGUGUUGUAAGCUUUUCGUGGCGCUAGAUGUCAGACAGAUGCAAAUGGCAAAUACAUACGAAAGUGUAAAACGUGUAUGGCGAACGUUUGUUUUUCUGUCAUUAUAGAUGCCAGUUUGGUGAAAGUACACACUGAGUGCUUCAAAUCAUUCAGAAGAGAUGCUGUUUUUAAGGGCAAUUUAUUAAAGAAGACCUGACAUGGAUGACUUCCAGUGAGAAACGACUGCUAAUACUUAUAUAAAUUCAUUACAGAAGGACCCUACCAGACUAUAUUUGAAUACGGCAUACCCAUGAAUUCUGAACUGUUAUUCCUUAACCCAGUUUGGAGGAUAAGAGCUUACCAACUAGUUAUAAAUAUGCUGAGGCGAUGUAUUGCAAAAUAGCCAACAUACAACAAUUAAAGGAUAAAUGCAUACUACAUCCUGAUGAAGAUAUGGAUGACCCUCUGUCUGGUCAACAGGAGUUUAAAUAUGGACGGGACAGUGAUGUGGCAGCUCUUCCCUGGCUCAUUCACCUCUUGCCUUCAUUUGUGAAAGGAGGAAAGACUGGAGAGGGUCAAUGUGCAACUGAAGCUACUGAUUGUGCUGUGUGAUGAGCAUCAAUCCAUGCUUUGAGGGGGAUGAAUCAUCACAGCCCUGCCUGCUCUGCGUUGGGAACAGAAGUUGCAUCCAGAGUUUUUGCAUCAUUCUGGACCAAAAAGCCAUUCCCUGCAUGAUGAAGACCACUGAUGCAGCCUUUCACUACAUCAUGAGUAAAACAACUACAGAACUAAAUACCAGGUUGGAACGUAUUUAAAAAAAUGAAACGUUGUUUGAAAUGAAAUGUCUGUUUUGUUAUGGAAAAAUCUUUAGUAUUGUGAAGGAUAACAUUUCUGCUUGCCAGUAAGGUAAUUGCAGUGUAUUUUAAUGUUCAAGUUUUG